GAUGAACGCUGGCGGCGUGCCUAAUACAUGCAAGUCGAGCGAACGGACGAGAAGCUUGCUUCUCUGAUGUUAGCGGCGGACGGGUGAGUAACACGUGGAUAACCUACCUAUAAGACUGGGAUAACUUCGGGAAACCGGAGCUAAUACCGGAUAAUAUUUUGAACCGCAUGGUUCAAAAGUGAAAGACGGUCUUGCUGUCACUUAUAGGUGGAUCCGCGCUGCAUUAGCUAGUUGGUAAGGUAACGGCUUACCAAGGCAACGAUGCAUAGCCGACCUGAGAGGGUGUUGGCCAACAAUGCACGGGAGCCAGGAUCAUGCGUCUAAGGGAAGGCACCAGUAGGGAUUCUUCCCCAAUGGGCGAAAGCCGAAGGAGGCACAGCCCGGUGAUGCAUAAGGGUCUUCGGACCGUAAACCUCUGUAUUAGGGAAGAACAUAUGUGUAAGUAACUGUGCACAUCUUGACGGUACCUAAUCAGAAAGCCACGGCUAACUACGUG
rnacentral:rRNA from 1 species